GACGAACGCUGGCGGCGCGCUUAACACAUGCAAGUCGAGCGAUGAAAUUUCGACAGAUCCCUUCGGGGUGAAGAUGAAAUGGAUUAGCGGCGGACGGGUGAGUAACACGUGAGUAACCUGCCUUUGACAUUGGGAUAGCCUCGGGAAACUGGGAUUAAUACCAAAUGACACUAACUGAUCACAUGAUCAAUUAGUCAAAGAAAUUCGGUCAAAGAUGGACUCGCGGCUGAUUAGCUAGUUGGUGAGGUAACGGCCCACCAAGGCGACGAUCAGUAGCCGGCCUGAGAGGGUGAUCGGCCACAUUGGAACUAAGACACGGUCCAAACUCCUACGGGAAGCAGCAGUGGGGAAUAUUGCACAAUGGGGGAAACCCUGAUGCAGCGACGCCGCGUGAGCGAAGAAGGCCUUCGGGUCGUAAAGCUCUUUUAUGAGGGAAGAUAAUGACGGUACCUCAAGAAAAAGCCCCGGCUAACUACGUG
rnacentral:rRNA from 1 species